ACGGAAAUAGUUCAAUGGUAGAAGGCAUGCUUUGGGAGCAUGAAGGUGGCAGUUCGAGUCUGUCUUUCCGUACCA
rnacentral:tRNA from 1 species